GAAAUGCGAUAAGUAAUGUGAAUUGCAGAAUUCAGUGAAUCAUCGAAUCUUUGAACGCACCUUGCGCUCCUUGGUAUUCCUUGGAGCAUGCCUGUUUGAGUAUCAUGAAAUCUUCAAAGUAAAUCUUUUGUUAACUCAAUUGGUUUCUACUUUGGUAUUGGAGGUCUUUGGAGCUUCACACCUGCUCCUCUUUGUUCAUUAGCUGGAUCUCAGUGUUAUGCUUGGUUCCACUCGGCGUGAUAAGUUAUCUAUCGCUGAGGACACUGUAAAAGGUGGCCAAGGUAAAUGCAGAUGAACCGCUUCUAAUAGUCCAUUGACUUGGACAAUACUUUUAUGAUCUGAUCUCAAAUCAGGUAGGACUACCCGCUGAACUUAAGC
rnacentral:misc_RNA from 1 species